rnacentral:SRP_RNA from 2 species
GCCAGGCAUGGUGGCGCGUGCCUGUAGUCCCAGCUACUCAGGAGGCUGAGGCAGGAGAAUCGCUUGAGCCCAGGAGGAGAGGUUGCAGUGAGACGAGAUUGUGUCAUUGCACUCCAGCCUGGGCAACAGAGUGAGUCUCUGUCUCAU